AUGUAGGGAAAGUAGUUAGAUCAAUAUUUUGACUCAAUCUCUGUAUUUAGUUUCCCUAAAUAUAUUGUCUUGCUAUUAGAUGCUAUCGGCGCUUCUUCCAUCUUCUUUAGCUGAGAGUCUAUCGGAAACAGUAUCUUUGGCUCUCUGCUCUCCCAGGGUAGGGGUAAUGCUGCUUACAUCCUACCCUCCCCAGACCUUGUUUGUGGGAUUUUCACCGGGUUGUUGUUCUCUGUAUAUAAGUUUCUCAACAUAGACCAUAUUAUUGAGUCUCAUGUGCUGUCAGAAACAUAGAAGUGCGUGUGCUGAGGUGCCCUUUCAUUGGUGAUCUAUGUAAUUUCCUGGGCCAAUAAUUUUUGCCACAAGUGGCCUAAUUGUGAAGAGGCUCCUCUAGUUAGAUGGGCUUCAGCUUUUUCCCUGGGCAGAAUUCUUAAUCUUAUGCACAACAAACGAGGAUAAAGAUAUUUGAAUCUUCAGUUUGGUUUGAUCAAA